rnacentral:lncRNA from 1 species
UCGGGUUCAUGCCGCCACAGGCACUCAGGUUUCUGUGAGAAAACCAGGCCAAAAGACCAUACCACACAGGCCACUGUUUUCGUUCCCAAGCCUUUAUAGGCCUUAAACAAGAGUUAGAUUAGGAUUAGAAAUCCUAAUCUGGCUCAAACAAACUUUAAAUAACUUCCUCAAGCCAUCUGAUCGAAAGCAGGAUCAACCCACGCC